rnacentral:rRNA from 1 species
GUGGGGAAUAUUGGACAAUGGGCGCAAGCCUGAUCCAGCCGUUCCGCGUGCAGGAUGAAGGCCUUCGGGUUGUAAACUGCUUUUGUACGGAACGAAAAGCCUCUGGUUAAUACCCGGGGGUCAUGACGGUACCGUAAGAAUAAGCACCGGCUAACUACGUGCCAGCAGCCGCGGUAAUACGUAGGGUGCGAGCGUUAAUUGGAAUUACUGGGCGUAAAGCGUGCGCAGGCGGUGAUGUAAGACAGUUGUGAAAUCCCCGGGCUCAACCUGGGAACUGCAUCUGUGACUGCAUUGCUGGAGUGCGGCAGAGGGGGAUGGAAUUCCGCGUGUAGCAGUGAAAUGCGUAGAUAUGCGGAGGAACACCGAUGGCGAAGGCAAUCCCCUGGGCCUGCACUGACGCUCAUGCACGAAAGCGUGGGGAGCAAACAGGAUUAGAUACCCGAGUAGUCC